UAGGGAAUCUUCCACAAUGGACGCAAGUCUGAUGGAGCAACGCCGCGUGAGUGAAGAAGGUCUUCGGAUCGUAAAGCUCUGUUGUUGGUGAAGAAGGAUAGAGGCAGUAACUGGUCUUUAUUUGACGGUAAUCAACCAGAAAGUCACGACUAACUACGUGCCAGCAGCCGCGGUAAUACGUAGGUGGCAAGCGUUGUCCGGAUUUAUUGGGCGUAAAGCGAGCGCAGGCGGAAUGAUAAGUCUGAUGUGAAAGCCCACGGCUCAACCGUGGAACUGCAUCGGAAACUGUCAUUCUUGAGUGCAGAAGAGGAGAGUGGAACUCCAUGUGUAGCGGUGGAAUGCGUAGAUAUAUGGAAGAACACCAGUGGCGAAGGCGGCUCUCUGGUCUGCAACUGACGCUGAGGCUCGAAAGCAUGGGUAGCGAACAGGAUUAGAUACCCUGGUAGUCCAUGCCGUAAACGAUGAGCGCUAGGUGUUGGGGGACUUUCCGGUCCUCAGUGCCGCAGCAAACGCAUUAAGCGCUCCGCCUGGGGAGUACGACCGCAAGGUUGAAACG
rnacentral:rRNA from 1 species